rnacentral:rRNA from 1 species
UUUUUUUUAUAUUUACUGGCUCCAGAUUGAACGCUGGCGGCAGGCCUAACACAUGCAAGUCGAGCGGUAGAGAGAAGCUUGCUUCUCUUGAGAGCGGCGGACGGGUGAGUAAUGCCUAGGAAUCUGCCUGGUAGUGGGGGAUAACGUUCGGAAACGGACGCUAAUACCGCAUACGUCCUACGGGAGAAAGCAGGGGACCUUCGGGCCUUGCGCUAUCAGAUGAGCCUAGGUCGGAUUAGCUAGUUGGUGAGGUAAUGGCUCACCAAGGCGACGAUCCGUAACUGGUCUGAGAGGAUGAUCAGUCACACUGGAACUGAGACACGGUCCAGACUCCUCGGGAGGCAGCAGUGGGGAAUAUUGGACAAUGGGCGAAAGCCUAUCCACCAUCCGCGUGUGUGAAGAAGGUCUUCGGAUGUAAACACUUUAAGUGGGAAAGGCAUU